rnacentral:lncRNA from 1 species
AAAAAACAACAAGAACAAGAACAAAACAAUAAUAUCAUGUGAGAUGGAUAACAAGAGUAGAAAAAAGAUAUGUUAAAUGUGAGUGUUAGAAGAACAACAAAGCAUAAACAAAUAAUUUUUCUGUCUGGAUAUCCAUCCCAAAUAAUGAUUUUUACAAGUAUGAAGAAGUUGUAUAUAUGAGUUAGGUUUAGGAAAAAGCUUAGUAAGCGAAUCCUCUUUAUAGUUAAAUCUUGGUAGCAUACCCCAUAGUUAUUAAGGAAACCGAUGAAAUAUAUUAUUUAAUAAUU